rnacentral:pre_miRNA from 1 species
GAGACACCCUUCUGGGGCAAGACUUGCUUCAAUGGGACUUUGGUGCUCACUGAGUCUUCCCCCUGAGUGUGUCCCU